rnacentral:rRNA from 1 species
AGGCCGUAAACCCAAGGUUUCCAGGGGAAGGUUCGUCCGCCCUGGGUUAGUCAGGACCUAAGCCGAGGCCGAAAGGCGUAGGUGAUGGACAACAGGUUGAUAUUCCUGUACCACCAAUAACCGUUUGAGAAAUGGGAUGACACAGAAGGAUAAGCUAACCGCACUGUUGGUUAUGUGCGGGCAAGUAUUGAGGCAGUUCUGGUAGGCAAAUCCGCCAGAAUAAUGCUAGGGUACGAUGCGGAGCGAAAUUUAGUAGCGAAGUAGCUGAUUUCACACUGUCGAGAAAAGUCUCUAUCGAGGUUAAAGGUGCCUGUACCGCAAACCGACACAGGUGGGUGAGGAGAGUAUCCUAAGGCCAGCCAGAGAACUGUUGUUAAGGAACUCGGCAAAAUGACCCCGUAACUUAGGGAGAAGGGGUGCCUUCGAAAGAAGGCCGCAGAGAAUAGGCCCAAGCGACUGUUUACCAAAAACAUAGGUUUCUGCUAAGUCGCAAGACGAUGUAUAGGAGCUGACGCCUGCCCGGUGCUGGAAGGUUAAGGGGAUCUGUUAGAGCAAUCGAAGCAGUGAACUUAAGCCCCAGUAAACGGCGGCCGUAACUAUAACGGUCCUAAGGUAGCGAAAUUCCUUGUCGGGUAAGUUCCGACCCGCACGAAAGGCGUAACGAUUUGGGCACUGUCUCAACAACAGACUGGGUGAAAUUGUAAUACCGGUGAAGAUGCCGGUUACCUGCGACAGGACGGAAAGACCCCAUGGAGCUUUACUGUAGCUUGACAUUGAGUCUCGGUGCUACAUGUACAGGAUAGGUGGGAGGCUAUGAAGCAUGGACGUCAGUUUGUGUGGAGCCAUCCUUGGGAUACCACCCUUGUAGUACUGGGAUUCUAACCAGCUGCCUUGAAUCAGGUAGUGGGACACUGUCAGGUGGACAGUUUGACUGGGGCGGUCGCCUCCUAAAGAGUAACGGAGGCGCUCAAAGGUUCUCUCAGUACGGUCGGAAAUCGUACGUAGAGUGUAAAGGCAGAAGAGAGCUUGAUUGCAAGACAUACAGGUCGAGCAAGGACGAAAGUCGGACUUAGUGAUCCGGUGGUACCGCAUGGAAGGGCCAUCGCUCAACGGAUAAAAGCUACCCUGGGGAUAACAGGCUGAUCUCCCCCAAGAGUCCACAUCGACGGGGAGGUUUGGCACCUCGAUGUCGGCUCAUCACAUCCUGGGGCUGUAGUAGGUCCCAAGGGUUGGGCUGUUCGCCCAUUAAAGUGGUACGCGAGCUGGGUUCAGAACGUCGUGAGACAGUUCGGUCCCUAUCCGUCGCAGGCGUAGGAAAUUUGAGGAGACCUGUCCUUAGUACGAGAGGACCGGGAUGGACGUACCGCUGGUGUACCAGUUGUUCUGCCAAGGGCAUAGCUGGGUAGCUAAGUACGGAAAGGAUAAGCGCUGAAAGCAUCUAAGCGCGAAGCCUACUUCGAGAUAAGAUUUCCCACCGCAAGGUUAAGACCCCAUGAAGACUACAUGGUUGAUAGGUCAGAGGUGGAAGUGUGGUAACAUAUGUAGCUCACUGAUACUAAUAGGUCGAGGACUUGACCG